UUUCAUGGGGACUGGAUGGCCCCUUUAAACUUUAUACAACUUUCAGCAACGGAUCUCUUGGCUCUCGCAUCGAUGAAGAACGCAGCGAAAUGCGAUAAGUAAUGUGAAUUGCAGAAUUCAGUGAAUCAUCGAAUCUUUGAACGCACCUUGCGCCCUUUGGUAUUCCGAAGGGCAUGCCUGUUUGAGUGUCAUUAAAUUCUCAACUUCAAAAAGCUUUUGUCUUUUUGAAGCUUGGAUGUGAAGGCUUGCUGGCGUUUUAAAUGUUCAGCUCCUUUGAAAUGCAUUAGUGGACCCGUUCGUGUUCAGCCUUAGUGUGAUAAUUAUCUAUGCUAUGGUUUCUUGAAUGCUUGCUCGUUAGAACUUCGAAGUGUUUCAUUACACUUUCGGUGUGGGGGGUUGCAUUAACACUGCUCUCUCUGUCUAUCGAGUUUGGUUUGUCUGCUUCUAACAGUCUGCCGUGUGUGGACAAUUUUUGAACCAUUGACCUCAAAUCAGGAGGACACCCG
rnacentral:rRNA from 1 species